UACAGAGGUCCCAAGCGUUGUUCGGAUUCACUGGGCGUAAAGGGUGCGUAGGUGGCCAGGUAGGUUUGGUGUGAAAGCUCGGAGCUUAACUCCGAAAAGUCAUUGAAUACUAUCUGGCUGGAGGGUCGGAGGGGAGACUGGAAUUCUCGGUGUAGCAGUGAAAUGCGUAGAUAUCGAGAGGAACACCAGUGGCGAAGGCGAGUCUCUGGACGACACCUGACACUGAGGCACGAAAGCUAGGGGAGCAAACAGG
rnacentral:rRNA from 1 species